GAUGAAGAACGUAGCGAAAUGCGAUAAGUAGUGUGAAUUGCAGAAUUCAGUGAAUCAUCGAAUCUUUGAACGCACAUUGCGCCCCUUGGUAUCCCGAGGGGCAUGCCUGUUCGAGCGUCAUUUCACCACUCAAGCCUGGCUUGGUGUUGGGCGACGUCCUCUUUGGGGACGCGCCUCGAAACGCUCGGCGGCGUGGCACCGGCUUCAAGCGUAGCAGAAUCUUUCGCUUUGGAAGUCGGGGCCCCGUCUGCCGGAAGACCUGCUCGCAAGGUUGACCUCGGAUCAGGCAGGGAUACCCGCUGAACUUAAGCAUAUCAAUAAGCGGAGGA
rnacentral:misc_RNA from 1 species